rnacentral:RNase_P_RNA from 3 species
CCAGCAGGCCACCUUAUCGCUGCAAUUUUGGGCAACUGAAAUUGAAGAGGAAAGUCCGGACACCAAAGUGCGGCAUAGCGGGUAACACCCGUCCGUUGAAAAACGAGGACUAGUGCAACAGAAAGCAAGUACAGUUCGGCUGUAGUGAAAUCAGGUAAACUCUAUGCGGUGAAACGUCAUGUAAACCGGUGUUCGAGGGCUGCACGCCCAAACCGGAGGGUAGGCGGUUUGAGCUCCAAGGUAACCUGGAGCCUAGAUAAAUGAUAAGGCAAGACAGAAUCCGGCUUAUGGCCUGCUUUUUAU